rnacentral:lncRNA from 1 species
CUUCCCGUCCUCCCAGUGCCCUAAAACCUCAUAAAAGAACUAGUAUUGCAUGACGAUUUUUUGAACGUAUAUCAGAUAUUGAGGUGCAAUGCAAUAUUUGUCAACAAAUAUAUAAGCAUAGAAGUGGAGGCAAACAAGGGGGUACGGGUACGUUAAUGAGACAUAUAGCUGAAGAUCACAAAAGAGAGUUAAAUAUUGCAAAAGGUGGUGGGGAUGUUGGUGGGUCAACGCAAACUAGAAUGGACCCAGCAACCGGUCACGUAGCGAAGAAGUAUAAUAAAUUGAGGGACAGGGAAGAAAUAGUUAAAAUGGUAGCUGUGGG